rnacentral:rRNA from 1 species
CCGCGACCCCAGGUCAGGCGGGACCACCCGCU